rnacentral:rRNA from 1 species
GCAAGUCGAACGAGAACACUUCUUCGGAAGUAAGUAGAGUGGCGCACGGGUGAGUAACACGUAGGUGAUCUGCCCUUUGGCGGGGGAUAACUCUUAGAAAUGAGAGCUAAUACCGCAUAAGAUCGACAAAUUUGAAAGUAGUUGAUUAAAGGAUGCCUCUCCUUGGAAGCAUUCACCAGAGGAUGAGCCUGCGGGACAUUAGCUAGUUGGUGGGGUAAUGGCCUACCAAGGCAACGAUGUCUAGCUGAUUUGAGAGAAUGAUC